rnacentral:rRNA from 1 species
GAUGAACGCUGGCGGCGUGCCUAAUACAUGCAAGUCGAGCGAACAGAUGAGGAGCUUGCUCCUCUGACGUUAGCGGCGGACGGGUGAUUACCACGUGUUUAACCUACCUAUAAGACUGGGAUACCUUCGGCAAACCGUGUCUAAUACCGCAUAAUUUAUUGACCCUCAUGGUUCAAUCGUUAAAUACGGUUUUUCGUUAACUAAAAGAUGACUCCGGCCCCAAUUAGUAGGUGGGUAAGGAAACGGCUUACCAAGGCACCGAGGGGUACCCGACCUGAAAGGGUGAUCGGACACACUGGAACUGAGAAACGGUCGAGACUCCUACGGGAGGACGCAGCAGGGAAUCUUCCGCAAUGGACGAAAGCCUGACGGAGCAACGCCGCGUGAGUGAUGAAGGUCUUCGGAUCGUAAAACUCUGUAAUUAGGGAAGAACAAAUGUGUAAGUAACUAUGCACGUCUUGACGGUACCUAAUCAGAAAGCCACGGCUAACUACGUG